UACAGCAGUGUGUAGUGAGGAUUGUUACAAGAUUUCGUUAUAUAAAGUUUAUUAUUGAAGACUAGUUAAUUCAGUCUGAAUAUAUAGACUACCAAUGUCAAUGUAUUAGGCCUGUACUGCUGUUAUCUUAGGUCAACAGAAGCCCCCUUGUCUUAUAUAACAGAAGCCCCUUGUUUUAUAGUGCUAAAUGAAAGUACUUUGCAUACAAUGUAUGGGUAUACAUUCUGUGUGUUGGCACUUGUGUUGUAGAUGUAUCGCAUAUUAUGUGUAGUUGCAGUAUAUCAUCAGUGUUCAAGUGAAUGUCUCAACAGUGAAGUUGCUAGUUGCAACCGUCUUCAAAAGUUUGAUUUCCAGUGAUUGUGGAGCAUUUUACAGACCCGAAUUGAUUGUUAUCUGAAGGUUGGGUGACCAUACGACCAGUGAAUAAACGACAGUUCGUGAACUUUAA